UAAGUACUCCCUCCGUUCGGAAUUACUUGUCGCAGAAAUGGAUGUAUCUAGAUGUAUUUUAGUUCUAGAUACAUCCAUAUCCAAGACAAGUAAUUCCGAACGGAGGGAGUAGGUA
rnacentral:pre_miRNA from 1 species